rnacentral:ribozyme from 13 species
CAUGAAAGAUAUGAACUCAUUCGUAGAGAGAAACAGAGAAGUAAUGGAAAAAUACUUCGAAUCUGUAAUGGACUUUACUGAUACUGAUCUUUCUUCUCUCUCUUAUUCUUCUUCUU